UGCCUUUAGAGAGGUUGUAGAUGUUUAUAGGACACUAGAAAUUAUUUCUAGCAAUUUUAAUUCAAAGAAAACAAUUGUUUUCUCUUUGAAUUUAUGAGAGAUGAAUAAGAAGAGAAGGAGAGGCAGCCAAGGGUGGCAGCACCAAAGAGAGAACAAUAGCUUAUGUUUUUUGUUCUUUCAUCCUUAUACUUAUAUAGCUAGGUCACU
rnacentral:misc_RNA from 1 species